UCAAAUCUCUAUCCAAUCAUUUGUAAAUAUAUAAAGCGUACAAUAUAAGCAUUAUGAUAAGCAAUGAGUACAAUAUAUACAACGAAUAAAUGGAAAAACAUCAUAUAUAUAUAUAUAUAUAUAUAUAUAUAUAUAUAUAUAUAUAUAUUUGUGAAAUACAUCAAGUUUUAUAUAAACAUCAACAUCAUCUCUAUGAUACAUAUGAAAAUGAAAAUAAAAAGUCUAGGAUAAUGGGGGCACAGACGCCCAACAACUAACAAGAGGCCUAUCAAAUAAACUCUACGCUAUCCAUAAAGAUACUGGAGUCAUCAAACUAGUCAACCCAAGCCAGGUCCUCCUGAGUAGGCAUAUCCAGCAUAUCUAGGCGGUAUAAUAUGGGAUCUCCCCCAUCAACAAAGCCACCAUUGCCAGAUGGACCAGCCUCAAACCCAGAGGGAUCAAAAGUAUCAGCCUUGGAUGGAUCCCCGCCCAAAUGGCGAAUGAAGAGGGACAUCCGAUCAACCCACUGUGUCAAGUCCGCGAUAUGAGACAAAUGAGUCAGCUCCCGAACACAAGCCAUCCAGUCAGUCAUCAUCACUGACCCAAGAACCAUGUCCCUUAAGAUAUGGGUAGCACUGGUCUAAGCGCUGAUAGUGCGGGGCACCCACCUGAGAGAAAAAGCAGCUGAAGUGUUGGGGUCAUCUGACAAAAGAAACCCAUCAUAACCCGAUAGAGGGAUCUUUGAGAGCGGCUGAGCUAGAGGCCAAAAUCGCUGAGUCGGGGGAAGGAAAGGAAUGCGGAUCUCUCCUAAAACACAUUUGAAGGAACGCUCCCCAAGAUAGAGCUCCCAGCCUCAAUUAAACAGCAGAGGAACCUGGUGUGUGGAUAAAGCAUAUUUGGGCCCUGUUGGGAAACCUUCCUCAAAUCCC
rnacentral:lncRNA from 1 species